UACAGAGGUCUCAAGCGUUGUUCGGAUUCAUUGGGCGUAAAGGGUGCGUAGGCGGCGCGGUAAGUCGGGUGUGAAAUUUCGAGGCUUAACUUCGAAACUGCAUUCGAUACUGCCGUGCUCGAGGACUGGAGAGGAGACUGGAAUUUACGGUGUAGCGGUGAAAUGCGUAGAUAUCAGGAGGAACACCGGUGGCGAAGGCGGCUCUCUGGGCCUUACCUGACGCUGAGGAGCGAAAGCGUGGGUAGCGAACAGG
rnacentral:rRNA from 1 species